UACGUAGGUGACCAGCGUUGUCCGGAUUUACUGGGCGUAAAGAGCGCGCAGGCGGUCGUUCAAGUCGAGUGUGAAAGCCCCCGGCUCAACUGGGGAGGGUCAUUCGAUACUGAUCGACUGGAAGGCAGGAGAGGGAAGCGGAAUUCCCGGUGUAGUGGUGCAAUGCGUAGAUAUCGGGAGGAACACCAGUGGCGAAGGCGGCUUCCUGGCCUGUUCUUGACGCUGAGGCGCGAAAGCUAGGGGAGCAAACGGG
rnacentral:rRNA from 1 species